rnacentral:rRNA from 1 species
ACUAACACAUGCAAGUCGAACGAACUCUUCGGAGUUAGUGGCGGACGGGUGAGUAACACGUGGGAACGUGCCUUUAGGUUCGGAAUAACUCAGGGAAACUUGUGCUAAUACCGAAUGUGCCCUUCGGGGGAAAGAUUUAUCGCCUUUAGAGCGGCCCGCGUCUGAUUAGCUAGUUGGUGAGGUAAAGGCUCACCAAGGCGACGAUCAGUAGCUGGUCUGAGAGGAUGAUCAGCCACAUUGGGACUGAGACACGGCCCAAACUCCUACGGGAGGCAGCAGUGGGGAAUCUUGCGCAAUGGGCGAAAGCCUGACGCAGCCAUGCCGCGUGAAUGAUGAAGGUCUUAGGAUUGUAAAAUUCUCUCACCGGGGACGAUAAUGACGGUACCCGGAGAAGAAGCCCCGGCUAACUUCGUGCCAGCAGCCGCGGUAAUACGAAGGGGGCUAGCGUUGCUCGGAAUUACUGGGCGUAAAGGGAGCGUAGGCGGACAUUUAAGUCAGGGGUGAAAUCCCGGGGCUCAACCUCGGAAUUGCCUUUGAUACUGGGUGUCUUGAGUAUGAGAGAGGUGUGUGGAACUCCGAGUGUAGAGGUGAAAUUCGUAGAUAUUCGGAAGAACACCAGUGGCGAAGGCGACACACUGGCUCAUUACUGACGCUGAGGCUCGAAAGCGUGGGGAGCAAACAGGAUUAGAUACCCUGUAGUCCACGCCGUA